rnacentral:rRNA from 1 species
UACGUAGGGUGCAAGCGUUAAUCGGAAUUACUGGGCGUAAAGCGUGCGCAGGCGGUUGUGCAAGACAGAUGUGAAAUCCCCGGGCUUAACCUGGGAACUGCAUUUGUGACUGCACGGCUAGAGUGCGGCAGAGGGGGAUGGAAUUCCGCGUGUAGCAGUGAAAUGCGUAGAGAUGUGGAGGAACACCGAUGGCGAAGGCAGCCCCCUGGGCUAACACUGACGCUCAGGCACGAAAGGCGUGGGGAGCAAACAGG